AGUGAACGCUGGCGGUAGGCCUAACACAUGCAAGUCGAACGGCAGCACAGUAAGAGCUUGCUCUUACGGGUGGCGAGUGGCGGACGGGUGAGGAAUACAUCGGAAUCUACUUUUUCGUGGGGGAUAACGUAGGGAAACUUACGCUAAUACCGCAUACGACCUACGGGUGAAAGCAGGGGAUCUUCAGACCUUGCGCGAUUGAAUGGGCCGAUGUCGGAUUAGCUAGUUGGCGGGGUAAAGGCCCACCAAGGCGACGAUCCGUAGCUGGUCUGAGAGGAUGAUCAGCCACACUGGAACUGAGACACGGUCCAGACUCCUACGGGAGGCAGCAGUGGGGAAUAUUGGACAAUGGGCGCAAGCCUGAUCCAGCCAUACCGCGUGGGUGAAGAAGGCCUUCGGGUUGUAAAGCCCUUUUGUUGGGAAAGAAAAGCAGCAGGUUAAUACCCCGCUGUUCUGACGGUACCCAAAGAAUAAGCACCGGCUAACUUCGUG
rnacentral:rRNA from 1 species